AUCAAUUGUGAUUUCAUCAUUGUUAACACACACAAGGAACUGUUGUAGAUCCCUUACUGGACAUGAUCUCUCAAGGGACAAGAGACCAAACAUAAGAAAAAUGAGGAUGCCGUCUGCAUAACAGUUGUUUUCCAGUAAACGUGCUUCAUAAGUAGAAGGCAUAUAUAUAUUGUGCAUUAUAGUGACUGAAGUGACAGCCAUUUGUCAUCCCUGUUAAGUGAUACACAUUUUUUGUGCUAUAGUUGAAAAAAAUUUUUUAUAAAUUUACUGUCAGGGUGCAUGGUGUGUUUGUGCCGGGGCGUGCGUAUGCAGAUGAGAGAAAAACACCGUGAAAACAGUUUUCUCUUUUCACCUGCGUUCCUGGGAUUGCCCACCCGCCCUUUAGGGCAAGCAUUCUCAGCAAGUGAGCGCCCUCAUGAGCUGCGUGCUGUUUUCCUGUGCCUGAUAGCACAUGAGUCACUCACAGAUGCUGUGAUGUGAGAACGGCAGCUGUCUGAGCUCACUUAUCUUGUGGGACUAAUGAAGUAAAUGGGUCUCAGGGUUGAUGGGAACCUUGCUUCAUGAUGAUGACUGUGGAGGAAUGUACAUAUGGCUGUGCAGUAGAGGGCAGUGUACAUUGCUGGUGUCAAAGACGCCAUCAUGGAAGCAACUGGGGCUUAGAUAAGGGCGAGAGGGUCUGGAGAGACAGGCUCUGAGGCUGGACUGUGAGCUCAGCGGUUCCUGGGUUUCUAAGUGGUGAUCACUUGCUGCCCCCUGGCUAUUCUUCUUUGCCUGGUCACCCUCAGUCCCUUUUUGUUCCUUAAACUAGUAUUUAUCAAACUUCCUGUGUACCCAGACUAAUUUUCUAUCAAGACGUGAACUACUCCCAUCCUACCCAGGUAUUUCCCUGGAAAAGUAGAAAAAGCAAAACUUGGCUCAAGCCAGGGUUCCCCAGGCAGCCCCCACUCCCACAGUUUCUCUGCUUGUCUGUCCUUGCCCCAGCUGGAGGCCCGUGGCUGAGUACAUUGACCAGCAGUUUGAACAGUAUUUCCGAGAUGAGAGUGGCCUGAAUCGCAAGAACAUCCAAGACAACAGGGUGCACUGCUGCCUGUACUUCAUCUCACCCUUUGGCCACGGGUAUGGUCUGAGCCUGAGGCUCCUGGCACCACCGGGGUCUACUAAGGGAACAGGCCAAGAGCACCACGGGGCAGGGUACCACUAGCGGGUGGUCACCGAUUCCUGUUCCCCAGGCUCCGGCCAUUGGAUGUUGAAUUCAUGAAGGCCCUGCAUCAGCGGGUCAACAUUGUGCCUAUCUUGGCUAAGGCAGACACACUGACACCCUCUGAAGUGGACCGAAAGAAAUGCAA
rnacentral:lncRNA from 1 species